UACGGACUGGCCGGCCACGAUCGAUAGGA
rnacentral:sRNA from 1 species